rnacentral:rRNA from 1 species
UACACGCUGUGACUAGCAUAUCAAUAAGCGGAGGAAAAGAAACUAACAAGGAUUCCCCUAGUAACGGCGAGUGAAGCGGGAAGAGCUCAAAUUUGAAAUCUUAAAGGGUUUCCCUUUACGAAUUGUAGUUUAAAGAAGUGUUUUCUGUUGAGGUUUUGGUAAAAGUUCUUUGGAAUAGGACAUCAUAGAGGGUGAGAAUCCCGUAUUUGACCUUUACUUUCAACUUUGUGAUACACUUUCAAAGAGUCGGAUUGUUUGGGAAUGCAGUCCAAAAUGGGUGGUAAAUUUCAUCUAAAGCUAAAUAUUGGCGAGAGACCGAUAGCGAACAAGUACCGUGAGGGAAAGAUGAAAAGAACUUUGAAAAGAGAGUUGAACAGUACGUGAAAUUGUCAAAAGGGAAGCGUUUGACACCAGUGUUGUUUUUCUGAAAAUCAAUUAAAGAACUGUUUAUGCUAAGUUGUUUAGACUUUAUCAGCUAACUGUUUAGUUUUGAGCUUUUCUUUAAUGCACUUUUCAGUUAACAAGUCAACAUCAAUUUCUUUGCUGUAAAAAAGCUUGAGGAAGGUGGCUUGAGAUUCGUCUUAAGUGUUUAUAGCCUCUUGCCUAUGCAGUCGGAGAGAUUGAGGUCUGCAGCGUAGAUCCUUCGGGGCUAAAUGCAUUUGUGCUAAGUUAUAGCAUUUCAUAGACAACUUGUUGACUAUGAUUUGUCUUGUAGCUUACUCGCUUAUGUUAUUUUACCUACGCUUAGGAUGUUGAAUCUGUGCGAGACUAC